CUGUGUUUGUGGAAACCUGCACCUCCUCAAGCCUGAAGGUUUCCACUUAAUGCUUCUUUUAUUAUGUUCCCAAGUAACAUCUUAUGAUAUCAUGGAAAUAUGGAAAAGUCAGAAAGCAAUGCUCUAACAGCAAGGUGACUCUGUGUGUGUGUUUGUGUGUGUGUAAAGGGCUGCUCUUGCUGCUGCUGUUUAAUCACUAAGUUGUGUCUGAUUCUUUGCAACCCCAUGGACUGUAGCCUGCCAGGCUCCCCUGUCCAUGGGGUUUCCCAGGCAAGAAUACUGGAGUGGAUUGUCAUGCCCUCCUCCACGGGAUCUUCUCAACCCAGGGAGAGAGCUCAUGUCUCCUGAUUGGCAGGCGGAUUCUUUAUCACCGAACCACCAGGGAAGUCCGUGUAAAGAGCACUGAAAGGAUGAGGACAGCUGAUGGCAGAGGACAUAACGCAUCAAUCUGGUUCAGACUUGCAAAGGAGAAUGGAAACACAAACCUACACAGAAAAAUAAUAUUCACAGGGAAGGAGCAGCUAGUCUUCGUGGGAGUGAAGAAGAGGAGACAUCAGAAACCCAUGACAAUGGCACCCUGUAGCUUUCCUUCAAAACUGAUUGAUCAAGAAGAGACCAUUGGUUGAGAGAGCUGACCCAACAAUUCACAUCAGAAGAAUCUGCAUCAGGAAGAUGGCAGAUGGCAACAGCCUGGGGUUAGUAUCUGUCCGUGAACACAGCCUGGAAGCAGGAGGACUCUGUCACACCCAUGGUGCGUAUUGUGAUAUGCUUCACAGAGCACCUGGCCGUGCUCCGUGCUAAUCUUUAUUGGGCAUUUUAAAGAGUAACAUAGAAAUUGCAU
rnacentral:lncRNA from 1 species